rnacentral:rRNA from 1 species
CCUACGGGUGGCAGCAGUGGGGAAUAUUGCACAAUGGGGGAAACCCUGAUGCAGCGACGCCGCGUGAGUGAAGAAGUAAUUCGUUAUGUAAAGCUCUAUCAGCAGGGAAGAAAAUGACGGUACUUGAGUAAGAAGCCCCGGCUAACUACGUGCCAGCAGCCGCGGUAAUACGGAGGGGGCAAGCGUUAUCCGGAUUUACUGGGUGUAAAGGGAGUGUAGACGGCAGUGCAAGUCUGGGGUGAAAGGCGGGGGCUCAACCCCCGGACUGCUCUGGAAACUGUACGGCUGGAGUGCAGGAGAGGGAAGUAGAAUUCCUGGUGUAGCGGUGAAAUGCGUAGAUAUUAGGAGGAACACCAGUGGCGAAGGCGGCUUACUGGACUGUAACUGACGCUGAUGCACGAAAGCGUGGGUAUCAAACAGGAUUAGAUACCCCUGUAGUC